rnacentral:lncRNA from 1 species
AUGGUACAGCCACUUGUCUGUCUGUCGCUGUCUGUGUCUGUGUCUGUCGCUGUCCGUCGCUGUCUCUGUGUGUCUGUCGCUGUCUCUGUGUGUCUGUUGCUGUCUUGCUCUCUCUGUCGCUGUCUCGCUCUCUCUGUCUCUGUGUGUCUGUCUCGCUCUCUCUGUCUCUGUCUGUCUGUGUCGCUGUCUCUGUCUGUCUGUCGCUGUGUCUGUCUGUCUGUCGCUCUCUCUGUCUCUGUGUCGCUCUCUCUGUCUCUGUCUGUCUGUCUGUCGCUCUCUCUGUCUCUGUCUGUCUGUGUCGCUCUCUCUGUCUGUCUGUGUCGCUCUGUCUGUCUGUGUCGCUCUCUCUGUCUGUCUGUGUCGCUCUCUCUGUCUGUCUGGGUCGCUCUCUCUGUCUGUCUGGGUCGCUCUGUCUGUCUGUGUCGCUCUGUCUCUCUGUGUCUGUAUGUGUCGCUCUGUCUCUGUCUGUCUGUCUCUCUCUCUCUGUCUGUGUCUCUCUCUCUGUCUGUCUGUCUGUCUGUCUGUCUGUCUGUGUCUGUCUGUGUGUCUGUCUGUCUGUCUGUGUCGCUCUCUCUGUCUGUCUGUCUGUGUCGCUCUCUCUGUCUGUCUGUCUGUCUGUGUCGCUCUGUCUGUCUGUCUGUCUGUCUGUGUCGCUCUCUCUGUCUGUCUGUCUGUGUCGCUCUCUCUGUCUGUCUGUCUGUCUGUCUGUCUGUCUGUCUGUCUGUCUGUCUGUCGCUCUGUCGCUCUGUCGCUCUGUCGCUCUGUCGCUCUGUCGCUCUGUCGCUCUGUCGCUCUGUCGCUCUGUCUGUCUGUCUGUGUCGCUCUGUCUGUCUGUCUGUCUGUCUGUGUCGCUCUGUCUGUCUGUCUGUCUGUGUCGCUCUCUGUCUCUGUCUGUCUGUCUGUCUGUCUGUCUGUCUGUCUGUCUGUCUGUCUGUGUCGCUCUCUCUGUCUGUCUGUGUCUCUGUCGCUCUGUGUCUCUCUGUGUGUGUGUGUGUGACCUGUUGA